AGCACCAGCAGAGGCUGCUUUUUUCCUGGCGUCCGAGCAGGAUAGCCAGUGAGCUGUAAAGGUAACUUGGAAACACUCUUAACUUCCAAGACUGACGGCGAGUCGUCUUGUGGUGGAUGUGGGUGAACUCUGGAAGCUGCCAGAGGACCGGACAUUUGCCAUAAGAGGGAGGAGUGAGGACCGGGAGAGCCCUGGACCGUGGGAGAAAAACUGUAGCUGUUGUACUUGAGCGUGGUUCAUCGCACGUGUUCUUGCACGCGCCAUUCCCUUGCCGCUGACACUCCAUCUUGCCAUUUGCUCCUUUCCCCCCAUCGUCAUCUCUGACUGUGAGGAUUCAAACGGGAGCCAGUGAAUCCACUGCGCGGGCUCGCACUUGGCGAACACUCCACAGUUUGGCGCAAUGUAAACCAUCCCGCUCUCCCAAACAGACUCCGGGACCUGUCAUGGAUGGUGGCACAUGAGAUCCUCCCGGUCAGGUCCGUCAUGCACUCCCGGGGAAUGGCAAGAAACUCAACCUGCCCCCGACCUGGUUGUGGCGCACCUGAGUCGGUGAGGCACUUGCUCUGGGAGUGCAGCGCUGCCAAAGACCUGUGGGCAAUGGCUGGCUUCUUAUAUUUCCCGUACUUGCCAGCAAGGGAGGUUCUUACAGCCCAGCUGGUGCUGUAUGGGGUGAGCCAUGACAAUAAAUCACAGAGUAAAGAAGAGUUUGCCAAGCAGUGGCUCGCCCUAGCCGCCAUCAAAGACGCCAUAUGGACCUCCAGAAACUUGCUGGUAAGAAGGCACAUGCAGAUCCCCCCCGUGGCUGUGAUCCGGAUGGCUGCAGCAACGGCUCAAGCUGCCGGAGCUGCAGGCGGCAAGCCAAGGACACAGCCACAAAGAAGAAUCGCCUCUGUGUCUAUUCGGAAGAAGGAGCCAGAGCCACACGGGGAAAGGU